rnacentral:rRNA from 1 species
UACGUAGGGUCCGAGCGUUGUCCGGAAUUAUUGGGCGUAAAGAGCUCGUAGGCGGUUUGUCGCGUCUGCUGUGAAAUCCCGAGGCUCAACCUCGGGCCUGCAGUGGGUACGGGCAGACUUGAGUGCGGUAGGGGAGAAUGGAAUUCCUGGUGUAGCGGUGAAAUGCGCAGAUAUCAGGAGGAACACCGGUGGCGAAGGCGGGUCUCUGGGCCGAUACUGACGCUGAGGAGCGAAAGCGUGGGGAGCGAACAGG